rnacentral:rRNA from 1 species
ACGAUGAGGCUGGCGGCUUGCCUACAGCACUGACAUCGUCGAGCGAGUAGCAGGGGUAGCUUGCUCCUUCGCUGACGAGCGGCGGACGGGUGAGUAAUGCAUAGGAAUCUGCCCGAUAGUGGGGGAUAACCUGGGGAAACCCAGGCUAAUACCGCAUACGUCCUACGGGAGAAAGGGGGCUCCGGCUCCCGCUAUUGGAUGAGCCUAUGUCGGAUUAGCUAGUUGGUGAGGUAAAGGCUCACCAAGGCGACGAUCCGUAGCUGGUCUGAGAGGAUGAUCAGCCACAUCGGGACUGAGACACGGCCCGAACUCCUACGGGAGGCAUCAGUGGGGAAUAUUGGACAAUGGGCGAAAGCCUGAUCCAGCCAUGCCGCGUGUGUGAAGAAGGCCCUCGGGUUGUAAAGCACUUUCAGCGAGGAAGAACGCCUAGUGGUUAAUACCCAUUAGGAAAGACAUCACUCGCAAAAAGCACCGGCUAACUCCGUGCCAGCACCGCGGUAAUACGGAGGGUGCAAGCGUUAAUCGGAAUUACUGGGCGUAAAGCGCGCGUAGGUGGUUUGAUAACCCCGGUUGUGAAAGCCCCGGGGCUCAACCUGGGAACGGAUCCGGAAAUGUUAAGUUAAAAUGGGGGAAGGGAAGGUAAAAUUCCCGGUGUAGCGGUAAAUGCUUAAGAUCGGGACCUGACCUGAGGUGGAAACCUGGG